AGGACGAACGCUGGCGGCGUGCUUAACACAUGCAAGUCGAGCGGAAAGGCCCUUCGGGGUACUCGAGCGGCGAACGGGUGAGUAACACGUGAGCAACCUGCCCUUAGCUUCGGGAUAGCUCCGGGAAACCGGAAUUAAUACCGAAUAUGAUUUUUGCUGACAUCAGCAGAAGUGGAAAGUUUUUCGGCUAGGGAUGGACUCGCGGCCUAUCAGCUAGUUGGUGAGGUAACGGCCCACCAAGGCGACGACGGGUAGCCGGCCUGAGAGGGCGACCGGCCACACUGGGACUGAGACACGGCCCAGACUCCUACGGGAGGCAGCAGUGGGGAAUAUUGCGCAAUGGGCGAAAGCCUGACGCAGCGACGCCGCGUGGGGGAUGAAUGCCUUCGGGUUGUAAACCCCUUUCAGCAGGGACGAAGCGAAAGUGACGGUACCUGCAGAAGAAGCGCCGGCUAACUACGCGCCAGCAGCCGC
rnacentral:rRNA from 1 species